rnacentral:lncRNA from 1 species
CUUGAUUCAGUUCUUUCUUAUGUAAAUACUCUUCCCCCAAAUUUUUGCUUUGUUUUAGUUACCAUGUACCAAUAAUUCUUACCACAUGGAGAAAGCACGACAACACUUUAUUUAUUUGGAAGAAUGAGGCCUUCAUUUUGUAUUUUCUUUUGAUGGAACUCAAAAUGAGAAAAUGGGUAAUAUUUCAAAAAUGAUUUCAUAUUAAAGAAAAAUGUGUUCCAUAUCCAGUUCAAAAGGGGAAGAAAACCCUGAUAGCUUUGUGACCACCUAUAUUUUGCCUCUUCCUCUAAUGCUUAACUGAGUCUCUUACAAUGCAGGAUCCACCAGGGGAGAAAAACUACUUUUGCUCAGCACUAGAAACCCACAGGUACAAGGCAGGUUCUCAAAAGUAUUUCUGAAAAGAUGAAUAAAGUAACAUCCUGGAAUGAAAUCUAAAGGAAAAAUUCAUGAAUUUCAAACAAAAAAAUAUAAAAGGAUUAAUCCCAUGAAUUAAGAAAGUGUUCUUGUAAAGAGCUGUGAAAG